UUGUCCGCUGUUGCCAUCAGGUUAAGCUGGGCACCCUGCGGAGACUGCCGGUGAUAAACCGGAGGAAGGUGGGGAUGACGUCAAGUCAGCAUGCCCCUUAUGUCUUGGGCUGCACACGUGCUACAAUGGUCGGUACAAUGAGCUGCGAUACCGCAAGGUGGAGCGAAUUUCAAAAAGCCGGCCUCAGUUCGGAUUGGGGUCUGCAACUCGACCCCAUGAAGUCGGAGUUGCUAGUAAUCGCAGAUCAGCAUUGCUGCGGUGAAUACGUUCCCGGGCCUU
rnacentral:rRNA from 1 species